rnacentral:lncRNA from 1 species
ACGCCUCUAAUCCUUUGUUUGGUUCAAUGUAUUGUUAUUACGGGGCUAAACCAUUACUGACCUAAUCGGUGAAAUCCACCGAUUUCUAAUCCCUGUCUUUAGCUCAGUUUAGGUGCUGCUUCAAGUUUUAUACCCUGUUUACCCUCCCAAUCGACACAUCCCUUUUUCGCCUUCUGUUCCUUCCUUCUAGCUUGGGGUUUCUGCCUAUUUGCUCCCUCUGUCCCUCUGCCUAUAAUACUCUCCAGCAAUAUACACACCGACGCACAAGGAAAGCACUAUUGGUAAGCCUUUAUUUCUCCUACCCUGAACUUUUCUCCAGAAACAAUCACUCUUAUCAUGUUUUUCGUUUCCU